rnacentral:rRNA from 1 species
GACGAACGCUGGCGGCGUGCCUAAUACAUGCAAGUAGAACGCACAGUUUAUACCGUAGCUUGCUACACCAUAGACUGUGAGUUGCGAACGAGUGAGUAACGCGUAGGUAACCUGCCUGGUAGCGGGGGAUAACUAUUGGAAACGAUAGCUAAUACCGCAUAAUAUUAAUUAUUGCAUGGUAAUUAAUGGAAAGGUGCAAUUGCACCACUACCAGAUGGACCUGCGUUGUAUUAGCUAGUAGCUGAGGUAACGGCUCACCUAGGCGAGGAUACAUAGCCGACCGGAGAGGGUGAUCGGCCACACUGGGACGGAGACACGGCCCAGACUCCUAGGGGAGGCAGCAGUAGGGAAUCUUGGGCAAUGGGCGAAAGUCUGACCGAGAAACGCCGCGUGAGUGAAGAAGGUUUUCGGAUCGUAAAGCUCGGUUGUAAGGGAAGAACGGGUGUGAGAGUGGAAAGUUCACACUGUGACGGUAUCUUACCAGAAAGGGACGGCUAACUACGUG